rnacentral:lncRNA from 1 species
UGUGAAUCUGGUGGAGAAGAUGACCAAAUGGCCCAGCUUUGUAGAGAGAAGCACAUCCAAGAGCUUCUUGUGACACUCCCUCAGCUUCUUCCUGCUCUUCUAGAAGUUCUAGAUCAAACUGCCAUUGCUGAUUGGCAAAUGGUGUUUUCGAUGGAUCUACCACUGCUGAUUCAUGUAACCUGAACUGCUGAUAUCCUGACAAUGAAGAUUGAAAUCACACCGAAGAACUACUUCUGAACAGGGCCACAUCCCCCUUUGCCCUAUUAACCUUUCCUUUCCACUCCCUCUGGUGGGUGGUGGGCUAGAAGGGAGGUUAAAGCAUUUAAGAACUCUCAUUAAAGUAGGUUUUGAAAAAUAUAAGACCCCUCCCUGUGUGCCAGGAAUAAGGCAGAGUGUUGCAGAAUCAAACUCAGCCAGCAUGCCUAAACCUGAAAGCUGAAUGAACAUGGUAAUUCUAAAGCAAGAGGAUGUCACCAGCAGCGGUGAGUCAGCACCUGAACAGUGGAGGGAGAAUGUUAGCCCCCGUACUUCCCCAUCCUUUCCAAAUAAAGGGUAGAGAAGAGAGUACUUUGAAAAUAUGUAUGCAAGAAGUUGCAGCUUUCCAUGAGUAACUUUCUGAACAUACCCACUCAGCAUCAUAAUUAGAUUGUGGGCUAAUUGUUUACUUUAAGUGGUGUAACCAAG